UACAGAGGUCUCAAGCGUUGUUCGGAUUCAUUGGGCGUAAAGAGCGUGUAGGCGGCUUGGUAAGUCCGCUGUGAAAGUCCAGGGCUCAACCCUGGAAUGCCGGUGGAAACUGUCAGGCUCGAGUCCGGAAGAGGCGAGUGGAAUUCCUGGUGUAGCGGUGAAAUGCGCAGAUAUCAGGAGGAACACCGAUUGCGAAGGCAGCUCGCUGGGACGUCACUGACGCUGAGACGCGAAAGCGUGGGGAGCAAACAGG
rnacentral:rRNA from 1 species